rnacentral:rRNA from 1 species
GACACGGCCCAACUCUACGGGAGGCAGCAGUGGGGAAUAUUGCACAAUGGGCGCAAGCUGAUGCAGCAACGCCGCGUGAGGGACGACGGCUUUCGGGUUGUAAACCUCUUUAGCAGGGAAGAAAGCGAAAGUGACGGUACCUGCAGAAAAAGCGCCGGCUAACUACGUGCCAGCAGCCGCGGUAAUACGUAGGGCGCAAGCGUUAUCCGGAAUUAUUGGGCGUAAAGAGCUCGUAGGCGGUUUGUCGCGUCUGCUGUGAAAUCCGGAGGCUCAACCUCCGGCCUGCAGUGGGUACGGGCAGACUAGAGUGCGGUAGGGGAGAUUGGAAUUCCUGGUGUAGCGGUGGAAUGCGCAGAUAUCAGGAGGAACACCGAUGGCGAAGGCAGAUCUCUGGGCCGUAACUGACGCUGAGGAGCGAAAGGGUGGGGAGCAAACAGGCUUAGAUACCCUGGUAGUCCACCCCGUAAACGUUGGGAACUAGUUGUGGGGUCCAUUCCACGGAUUCCGUGACGCAGCUAACGCAUUAAGUUCCCCGCCUGGGGAGUACGGCCGCAAGGCUAAAACUCAAAGGAAUUGACGGGGACCCGCACAAGCGGCGGAGCAUGCGGAUUAAUUCGAUGCAACGCGAAGAACCUUACCAAGGCUUGACAUAUACGAGAACGGGCCAGAAAUGGUCAACUCUUUGGACACUCGUAAACAGGUGGUGCAUGGUUGUCGUCAGCUCGUGUCGUGAGAUGUUGGGUUAAGUCCCGCAACGAGCGCAACCCUCGUUYUAUGUUGCCAGCACGUAAUGGUGGGAACUCAUGGGAUACUGCCGGGGUCAACUCGGAGGAAGGUGGGGAUGACGUCAAAUCAUCAUGCCCCUUAUGUCUUGGGCUUCACGCAUGCUACAAUGGCCGGUACAAAGGGCUGCAAUACCGCGAGGUGGAGCGAAUCCCAAAAAGCCGGUCCCAGUUCGGAUUGAGGUCUGCAACUCGACCUCAUGAAGUCGGAGUCGCUAGUAAUCGCAGAUCAGCACGYGCUAUCGUGUGCUGUGAUUGCGGGG